GGAUGUUCUUGCUGAUCUUCUGAGGGAGGGGUCUUUUGCAGUGGAUUCUCAAAUGUCUUGCCUGAGGGGGAAUUGUACAGCCCUUGCCAGGGGCCAGGACUCCUCUGCCUUUGG